CCCUUAGAUGUCCUGGGCCGCACGCGCGUUACACUGAUGCAUUCAACGAGCAUAUAGCCUUGGCCGAGAGGCCUGGGUAAUCUUGUUAACAUGCAUCGUGAUAGGGAUAGAUUAUUGCAAUUAUUAAUCUUGAACGAGGAAUUCCUAGUAAUCGCAGUUCAUCAAACUGCAAUGAUUACGUCCCUGCCCUUUGUACACACCGCCCGUCGCACCUACCGAUUGAAUGGUCCGGUGAGGACUCGGGAUUGUGGUUUAGCUCCUUCAUUGGGGCCUGACUGCGAGAACUUGUCCGAACCUUAUCAUUUAGAGGAAGGUGAAGUCGUAACA
rnacentral:rRNA from 1 species